UAUUGCUAACACAUCUAUAAGGGACUCAAAUCUCAAGUUUGGUAAUUGUUUUUAUGAAAAUGGACAGGUUGAUUAUCAAAAGCUUUCCAAAGAGUGAAUAUGUUGGCCCUUCUGGUCCCAAACGCAAAAUCAAUAGCAAAGUUGACAACACAAAUGGAACAUUUCUGAAAUGUUUAUACCUGCUUGUCUAAAUUAAAACCAAGGACACACUGGGGUUUUGCGAGGCCCUUGGGUGGACUGAUCUCACUGUGAAUUUGGCGUCAGUAGGUUGAAAGUUGUGCUUACGGAAAUGUAAACCACUGACCCCAGUGGCCAAAGCUGGAAGUCUUGUUUAACCUAUGGGCACAUGUGAGCUCUAGUUUUUGGGUGAAAUGUCCACAGAGAGGUGCCACAAAUAAGUUGUAAAGCAAAUUGUUUUUAGUUGAAAUCUAUGUAAUACAGUGAACAGGAAUGCAUAUUUUAUUAAGCAUAUGCUCUAAACCAAAACCCAACCCUAAGCUUAACCUUCAGUGGAGUGAAAGUGUAAUCUUAGAAGGAAAAUGCAACCUCUGAAUCGCGUACAUCAUUAAUUAUGUAAAUGUGGUUACUACUUGGUUUUCAUGGGACCAGAACCCAUGUCUCUAAGGCUGCUUACGCAAUCCACUUUCAGUAGUGCCACAGCAAAACUAAACACUUUUGAACAGAUGCAAAGAUGUCUGAUGGGAGAAGGGGCUUGUCAGUACCUCACCAGAAAGGGGUCGAGUUCCCGGCUACAGGCUCUUUAUAAAAUUAAAUUAAAACUACAUUGGACACCUUAUAGAAAAUGAAAGAGAUUUGUCAUUGUUAUUUAAUUUUUGUGGCAUGAUAAGUGAUGUUGCAUUUUCUUUAAACUCAGUUGCGUUGAUUGAUGUUGUUGGGUAGUCAAGUAUUGUUUGUUUUUGCUAGAGCCACAAUUUCAUGCCACCCAUGGCCACUAGUUUUGAUAACCUCACCAAUCUGUCUUAAUCUUGGCUUAUUUACUUGGUGAUUUAAUAGAGAGGCAUGGUUUCAAACUUCUAGAUGGAAAAUGUAUAGUCACGAAUCAUUGCAUUAUUUUGCGUCAUAUAGUCUGUCUGUCAGAUUGUUAUAUGAAGUUGUAAUGCAACAUGUCCAAAUAUUUAUACUACGGGGGCGAAAUCCAAAUUAGCAGGAAAAACCAGACAGGUCUGCUACCUCGUUUCAUGACCAGGUCCACUUGCAAACACUGCGGGCUGAGGUGCCAUUUGGCAGGCAAUAAAUGACUUCUCAAAAAGACUUUGACACAGGUUGCAAUUGCUAUGCGGCGAUAACAUUGCCUUAUCUGCCGGCUUACAUUGAAAAACCUGUGAGAUGAAUAUGCAACAUCCUCAUUACAAGCAUUUUUUAUUUCAUGAGGGACGUGUGGGAGCUCUCUCGCUCGCCUUUCUGUUUUUUAACCUGCUAUCACAAUGUGCCUAAUUUGAGCAAAGAGAAUAGGAAAGCUGUGCUUGGUUAUGACCCUAUUACUAAGAGCCAUAUUUUCCCAUAUAGCCUGUUUGUGCCUCUGUGUCGAGCCGUUAAACUGAAACAGAGCUGAUGCAUGAGUCGCAACAGUGUUGAAGACAGAUAAGCUUAGCUGUACUGUAAAAAUGCUAGAAAGAAAGAACUGGCCUACCAUUAAGUGCAACAGUGACUGCUCACUUUUUCAGUGGCCUUAGUUCCAGAAGUAUAUUUCCUAUUCACUUUCUCCAUUGGGGUUUCAGAAAAAUCUUGUUCUAAGCCAUGAACCAAACCAACCAGCUAUGAGAUGAAUCACACCAUUACAAACCUUUGAUUCAUUAUUAAAACUGUGUACUUAAAAGUAGGGGUGUGACGAUACACUUAGCUCACGAGACGAUACACGAUACUGGGUUUACAAGUACGAGACAAGGCAAUAUUUUAUCACUAUAUACCCUACCGGUCAAAAGAUCUUAAACACUUAUUCUUUAUUAUAAUUUUUUUUUCUUCUCAUUUUAGAAUAAUAGUGAAGUCAUAAAAACUAUGGAAUAACAUAAAUGGAACUAUGGGAAUUAUGUUGUGACUAAACAAAAUCCAAAAUAAAUCAAAACUGUGUUAUAUUUUAGCAUCUUCAAAGUAGUCACCCUUUGCCUAGAAUUUGCAGACAUGUACUCUUGACAUUUUCUCAACCAACUUCUUGAGGUAACACCCUGGGAUGCUUUUUAAACAGUAUUGAAGGAGUUCCCAUCUAUGUUGGGCACUUAUUUGUUGCUUUUCUUUAUUAUUAUUAAAACUUUUUUUUUUUAAUUACAUCUUAGUUUUAUAAUGAAAUAAAUUAAUAUGGUGGCACAAUUAUAUUUUUGUCUACAAAACUAAUUUCAAACAUUUAAGCAUACGCUUUCAGCUCAAAAGAUUUUUAAGAUCAUGAGAAACAUUUCAGGCAAGUGUUUCAAAACUUUUGACCGGUAGUGUAUAUGACUGGAAAAAUAGUCUUUUAUUCACAAAAUGCAAAACAAUGCAGGUGCAUUUUGAAAUGUUUUAACUAAUCAUCUUGUAAUGAAUUUCACUUCAGUUCUACUUUCUGAGUAUGAAUUAUCAUAUGCAGUAAAAUGCAAAACAAUAUGCAAGCACUGUAAAAGGUUUUGCCACAAACUCAACUGACUGGCUUCUCUCCUGUAUGAUUUCACAUGAGUCUCUUCAGACCUGGUUGAUUUUAGUUGAGAGUUGCGGUGGUUCUGUAGGUGUCUUUGCAUAGUGCUUGUGUUAGCCGCGGUGUACGGCACUAUUUUCUUACAGUGCUUACAUAUUGGCUGUGUCUCAUUUGUAAGGCUGUGUCCUCCGGAGGUCGCAUUUGUCGGCCACAUUUGUUGGCCACAUACGUCAUCGAAAAAAAUUUAACGAGAUUUAUCUCGAUGACGUAUGCGGCCCAUAAAUGCGACCUCCAGAGGAUGCAGCCUUCCAAACGAGAGACAGCCUUUGUUCGUGUCUUGUCUUUCACUCUGUCGCCGUUUAUUGUUUCCACCGGGUACCUAAAAUGCUGUCACACAAACGAUUUAAAAGUGGCGUUGGCAUCUUCUAUGCUAAUUUCACCCUCACACUCCGUCAUGCUGAUAUCAUGACAGUUUUUCACCUCAACGAGAAAUAUCGUCAUGUUUUAAUAUCGCGAGAUCUCGUGGCACGAAAUCUCGUCACACCCCUACUUAAAAGGAUAAAUCACCCACAAAUGAAAUUUCACUCAACAUCUUUUUCCAAACCUGUAUGACUUUCUUUCAUGGAACACAAAAGGAACUGAUAGCCUCAGUCAUUAUUUAGUUUAAUUUUUUUCAUACAAUGAAAGUGAAUGGUGACUAAUGCUGUCAGAAGCAUAUGUUAUCAUUAAAAAUCUGUUUUUCUAUGGAGACAAUGAAUGGAUUUACUUUUUGAGCCAUACUGUUGCGCUCUGUUUUACACUGUCGUUUCUAUGAUGUGUGUUUGUGAUGUCAUGACAAAAUGCCCUGUAGAGUACAGUAUGCAGUUACAUGAUGGCACAUUUCAAGGAAAAAAUAGCUUCCUGCUGAGAUACAUGGCUAUGAUUCACAUUUGUGUGGAUGUGUGUCUGCAUGGACUCAAGUAUGGCACUCAAGAAAUGCUAUAUGUCUCCAUGUCAAGACAUUUGAACUAGACUGCCCCCUUAAACAGCUGGAGUCAAUGUUAUGGCCAGAAAGUAAUUCACACUUUGCCUUUCAUUGAGUGGCAAAUACCUCAUACUCCACACCUCUCACUUCUAGUACUGAAUGUGUUAGAGAAACACACAUAGAUGCCUUUUAGUAAAGCAGCUUAUAAACUAGUUGGUUGUGUCUGACUAAUUUGUGACUAAUUUGUCACAAAUUAUCCAGGGCUCAAUAAAUGCCACUGAAAGUGAAUAAAACCAUAGAUGGGCUCUCAUUACCAUGAUUGGAUUAAAGUCAACAUUCAAAAUGACAUUUGCAACCCAUUUUACUUAAGGUCUGUAAUGUAUUUUGGAGUAAAAUAGAAUAUUCAUUGAAAAUAAAGUAAGGGACUUACUACUAUUCGUUAGGGUUAGGAUUGAAUUGUGAAAAGUGGGCAUUCCGUAGCAGAAUAGAACCUGAAUAUGGGCUUGCAUUUGAUUGUUAUUCCGUUCCUAAAACACAGUUGGCAACCACUUGGCCAGGACGUGGAGGCUAAAGGUCAAGUUCACCCUCAAGAAUUUGCACGUAUCCUAAUAGUAACGCUUCUUUUUCAAAUCUGUCGUCAAUUGCUACUAUUGCCGUAACCUUGUACAUUAGCGUUAAUCUACUUUAAAUGACUGUUAACCAUUGGCAAGAUUUUAAAGAGGUUGAAUUAGCUGCAACAGUAGACUAUUUGGCUAUAGCCUUUGUGGCCUAAGAUAAAUAUAUUUUCUUCUUUGGAAUACGUUACACUAAUGAAUUGAGCACAGUAUGAACAGGAAGGUGUAUUAAGAAAGUAAAUAUGGUUAAUUUGUCUCUAUCUAUAUUGAAUUUUUCAUUGACUUUAAUGUUACUAUUAUUCCUAAAACAAACUAUGGUAUUUGUUAGGAAAAGCAAAUAGCUUACAAACUGAAGUAAAAACAAAAUAAUGUAGAUUUCCUUAUUCAGGAGGCUGUAUGGAUAUACUGUGCAACAUACUAUAUAAUAAAAAUUACUGCUGUUAGUAUUACUGUAAUACAUUGGGAUAUUUUCUUAACAGUUAAAGUGAGCAGGCCUCUGUUUUGCCUUAGCUUCAUAAUUUCAGCCUGGCCAGACAUGAUUGCAGUCUCCCUGUUUGACGAAUUUUUGAAUUAACCUUUGCAAAAGCACUUCUGCUGAGUUUUCCUACAAUAGCUGCUUCGCUUGGAGUUAUGAUGGUGCUUUAGAAAAGAUUUUUGCCCACAUUCACAGAUAUAAUACCAUCAAAAGAAAUAUUCACUUUUAAUGCUUCCCAUUGUUUCCAGUAACUGGACUGACCUCAGUAAAUGCAUUUCUGCACGACGCACUGGUUUGCUGAUUUGAAAUUGAUCAAAAUAAUGGAGCAAAACAAAGAGGAGGCGAGCAUUCUGUGCACGCUUUUUAUGAGGCUUAAUACUUCUGUUUGGAUGGAUAAAAUAAAAAAUAAAAAAUAUGUAAUUACAAAGCUUUCUGCUAUUCAUUAUGGGUAUUCUGUUAUUGACAAAAGACAGAUGUGAUUCUGCAAACAACAUUUGUGAAAUGUCAAGGGUUAAGGGCUUUGAGCCUCAAAUCAAAACUGCAUUUGCUGCUUGUGAUAACUGUGCCCAUGGCUUACAUUAAUACCAGACAAUAUGACAUUUUUUGAGCAACCUGAUUACCCAAAGGCUUCAGGUAAACCCAUGGGUAAAAUACCCAUAAAAUCGUAACAUUUGGCCAUUAUAGGACUUUAUGAACAUUUCAUGACGUGGUAUUUUAAAAUACAGUAUGUAUAUAGUCAGUGAAGACUUGAGCCACACUUAAAAAUGUAAGAAUGUCAUUGCAUUAAAACAAGCACUUUUCUCAGAACUAACUUCACUUUUCUGAACUAAUUUUGCUUUUACUUUUAACCAACUGGUCUCAAAGUGUUUUAGUGAAUGUAUGUAGCCAGUUCCAUUAAAGUUCACCUAUGUGUCCGACUAGAGCUACAGUUAUAAUUCAUCACAUUAACUAUGGACAAGUUCCACUUAUGUUUGACAUCCAGAAAGUGUCCAAAUACUUAUUUUCUUCAUUGUAAACAGUAUAUUUGUUCAAAAUCUAAAACAAACAUCUUUUAGUUACACUUUUAGCUAUUCUGUUACAGUAUGUAGAGCACAACAUUCAUACAUUUUAAUUGUAUGAAUGUAAAAAAAAAAGAAGAAAAACUUUUUGUGACCACUGUAUCUAUGUGUCUAUCCACACAUAUUAAUUACUGAAGUCUCUAUGCCAAGAUUUUUUAAGUUUUGUGAUAUGCAUUGCAUAGCUGAAAGCAUUUUUAAUGACUAGACUGACAUGAUCAGAUACUAACCUACAUUCUUUCGGGUCAGGCAACUGUUGGAAAGAUCCUUGUGUUUUUUAUAUUAUUGCAUUUUAAUAGUUAGAUCAUGAGUUGGUUUAUUUUAAUGAGCACAUCUGAUGACUGAAACUUGAUGAUUCAUGUUCGUAAUGAGCUGCAGAAGUUGGGUGAUUCUUAAAUUAGAGGCACUUUUGACUACUUGAAACUUCUUUAAACUCAGCUUCUGCAUCUAUGUUAAAACAUUUAUCACUCCUGGAAUAAGGAUCAAGUUGAUUUUGGCAUAGAUGGCAAUAUCAUGUUAUGGUAAUGACAUUUUCAUUUUUGAGGAAAAAGUUGGAUUGGCAUUAAACUUGCAAACACUAAGCUAAUGGGAUAGAUAGCAGUCAGUUCAGUUUGAAUUCAUAAAAAUAAUAAGAAAAUGGAUUGCUUCUCUAUUAAAAUGCUCAAAUAAGGUGGUAAGGACACCUAAAGUUACACUCAGAUCUUGUAUGUAAAAAUAAAAUGUAUGUAUGUAUUUAUACUAUAUUUAAACAGACACACUAAGCUCUGCUUUAACAACCUGUCUAGACAGCAUCUGUCCUCUCUCCUCUAGGCCACCACAUAUGACACCACCCAGCCCCUGGCUCUCUGACAUCCUUUGUGAACAUCGGACUGACCUCAGGGCGGCUGAGAGGAGAUGGUGGAAAUCUAAAGAUCCAGCAGAUUUGGAACAAGCUGCUGGAUGACAAUCAGUCAGGGUACAAAAGCGGACACUCCACCGACACUGCCCUGCUGUCUGUCACUGAGUCGCUGAGACAGGUAAAAGCUGGAUCCAGAUCAUCCGUCAUGAUUGUACUGGACCUUUCUGCAGCCUUUGAUACAGUCAACCAUCAGAUCCUACUCUCCACCCUCUCUAAUCUGGGCAUCACAGGAACUGUGCUUGACUGGUUUAAUUCCUAUCUCUCAGCCCAACGACACCACGGUGACUGCUCGAAUCUCUGCCUGUUUGGCAGACAUCUCAGUCUGGAUGAAGGAACACCACCUGCAACUUAACCCAGCCAAGACUGAACUCCUUGUCUUUCCAGCCAACCCUGCUGUUGAACACAACAUCACCGUGCAGCUGGGUUCAACUACAGUAAUGCCUUCCAAAACAGUAAGAAAUCUAGGGGUAACCAUCGAUAACCAACAAAAUUUCACAGACCACAUGCCAAAGACUGCACGAUCAUGUAGAUUUACACUCUACAAUAUCAGGAAGACCCUUCCUCUCUGAACAUUCCACACAACUUCUUGUUCAGUCACUUGUCAUAACUAGACUGGACUGCUGUAGCGCUCUCAUUGCAGGCCUCCCUGCAUGCACAAAUAGACCCCUGCAAAUGAUCCAGAAUGCAGCAGCACGUCUGGUCUUAACUGCAUCCGUGAAGCUGACUCACUUUCUGUCACUUGUGUUUGCUUACAAUGUAUUAUUCUUUUGUAAGUCGCUUUGGAUAAAAGGGUAUGCCAAAUGAAUAAAUGUAAAUAUAUGUUUUCAUAAAUUUUCAUUUCAGAAAAUGUAAUUUUUUAGGUCACUAUGCAGUGCAUUCAUAAAGUAUUCAGACCCCUUCAUUUUUUUCACAUUUUGUUAUGUUGCAACCUUAUGCUAAAAUGCUUUAAAUAUAUAUAUAUUUUUUCACAUCAAUCUACACUCCAUACCCCAUAAUGACAAAGCAAAGGCCAGAUUUUUUUGAUAACUUUGCAAAUGUAUUAAAAAGAAGAAGAAGAAAAAAACAAAACAAAAAAACAACUGAAAUAUCACUUGACAUAAGUAUUCAGACCCUUUGCUAUGAUACUUGAAACUUAGCUCAGGUGCAUCUAAUUUCUCUGGAUCAUCUUUGAGAUGUUUCUACACUUUGACUGGAGUCCACCUUAGGCAAAUUCAAUUGAUUGGACAUGAUUUUGAAAGGCACACACCUGUCUAUACAAAACCAAGCAAAAACCAAGCCAUGAGGUCAAAGGAACUGCCUGCAGAGCUCAGAGACAGGAUUGUGUUGAGGCACAGAUCUGGGGAAGGCUACAAAAAAAUUCUGGCUGCAGUGAAGGUUCUCAAGAGCACAGUGGCCUCCAUAAUUCUUAAAUUGAAGGAGUUUGAAACGGCCAGGACUCUUCCUAAAGCUGGCCGCCCGGCCAAACUGAGCAAUAAGGGGAGAAGGGCCUUGGUAAGAGAGGUGACCAAGAACCCAAUGGUCACUCUGUUUGAGCUCCAGAGAUCAUGUGUGGAGAUUGGAGAAACUUGCUGAAGGACAGCCAUCACUGCAAUACUCCACCGAUCUGGGCUUUAUGGCAGAGUGGCCAGAUGGAAGCCUCUCCUCAGUGCAAGACACUUAAAAAAAACACCUAAAAGACUCUCAAACUGUGAGAAACAAGAUUCUCUGGUAUGAUGAAAUGAAGAUUGAACUGUCUGGCCUCAAUUCCAAGCAUCAUGUCUGGAAGAAACCAGGCACUGCUCAUCGCCUGUGCAAUACCAUCCCAAUGGUGAAGCAUUGUGGUGGUAGCAUUAUGCUGUGGGGGUGUUUUUCAGCAGCAGGACUGGGGGACUGGUCAGGGUUGAAGGAAAGCUGAAUGCAUCGGAGAUAUCCUUAAUGAAAACCUGGUCCAGAGCACUCAGGACCUUAGACUGGGCCAAAUCCAGAUGUGCAAAGCUUGUUGCAUUAUACCCCAAAAGACUUGAGGCUGUAAUCGCUGCCAAAGGUGCUUCAACUAAGUACUGAGUUAAGGGUCCGAAUGCUUAUGUCAAUGUGAUAUUUCAUUUUUUUUUUUUUUGCCUUGUCAUAAUGGGGUAUGGAGUGUAGAUUGAUGUGAUUUUUUUUUUUUUUUUUUUUUUAAAGCAUUUUAGCAUAAGGCUGCAACAUAACAAAAUGUGAAAAAAAUGAAAGGGUCUGAAUACUUUCUGAAUGCACAGUAUAUACCGUAUAUAGUGAUCUAAAAAUUACAUUUUCUGAAAUGAAAAUUUAUGACAAUACAUCUUAUUUAAUGUACAGUACUUGAGCAAAGUUCUUAGGCACUUAGAUGUUUCACAAAAGCAUUUGUCUAAAUAUGGUUAAUUUGUAUUUUAUUUUUUUUAUCUUUGCUUUAAUGUGUCAAUAGGAAAUAUCAUUUUUUGAUUUCCAAAUAUGCCUUUUGCAAAUGAAAGAAUAAAAUUUAGAGCAAUAGUCCUGUAACAGAUGGUAUUGCCCCCACAGAGCCUGGAUCUCAAUUUGAUCAAGUCUGGGAUUGCAUGAAGAGACAGAAGCAAUUAAAACUGCCUAAAUACAUACAACUGUGGCAAGUUUUCCAAGAUGCUUUGAACAACCUAUCUGCCAUCCACCUUAUAAAAAACUGUGUGCAAGUGUACCCAGAAUAAUUGGUGCUGUUUUAAAGGCAUAGAAUGUUCACACCAAAUAUUGAUUUAUUUUAUGUUUACUGCACUUUGUAUGAAGUAAAUUGAUAAAUGAAAACUAUUCAUGGCAUAAUUUUUUUAAACAUCCUCACUGUACAUGUAAAAAUGUAGUUGUAAAUCAAUAAAUGUGCA